AGUUAAUGAUCUUGAAAUUAAGUAUAUGUUUUGAAAACAUAAGAAAGAAAAUA
rnacentral:tRNA from 1 species